rnacentral:rRNA from 1 species
CCUACGGGGGGCAGCAGUGGGGAAUAUUGGACAAUGGGGGCAACCCUGAUCCAGCCAUGCCGCGUGUGUGAAGAAGGCCCUCGGGUUGUAAAGCACUUUCAGUGAGGAAGAACGCCUGGUGGUUAAUACCCAUCAGGAAAGACAUCACUCACAGAAGAAGCACCGGCUAACUCCGUGCCAGCAGCCGCGGUAAUACAGAGGGUGCGAGCGUUAAUCGGAAUUACUGGGCGUAAAGCGCGCGUAGGUGGCUUGAUAAGCCGGUUGUGAAAGCCCCGGGCUCAACCUGGGAACGGCAUCCGGAACUGUCAAGCUAGAGUGCAGGAGAGGAAGGUAGAAUUCCCGGUGUAGCGGUGAAAUGCGUAGAGAUCGGGAGGAAUACCAGUGGCGAAGGCGGCCUUCUGGACUGACACUGACACUGAGGUGCGAAAGCGUGGGUAGCAAACAGGAUUAGAUACCCUUGUAGUC